rnacentral:rRNA from 1 species
AUGGAACAGUGGCCUCAACCUACCAACGCUACAGAAUUGCGUGGGUUCCUUGGGUUGACCAGGUACUACCGCAAGUUUGUCCAAAAUUAUGGUACUCUGGCCAAGCCCUUGACUCAAUUGCUGACCAAGAAGGGUUUUGCUUGGACAGAGCAAGCCACUGUAGCUUUUCAAAAAUUGAAAACAGCUAUUACUAGUACUCCUGUAUUGGCUCUACCGGAUUUCAGUCAAUCUUUUGCUGUUGAAACGGAUGCUUCUGCUACAGGAAUUGGAGCCAUACUUUCACAGAAUAACCAUCCUAUUGCCUAUCUGAGCAGGGCUUUGGGUGUGGCCAAUCAAAAGUUGUCUGUCUAUGAGAAGGAAGUCUUGGCUGUCAUUAUGGCCAUUGACAAGUGGCGCCCUUACCUUGAGAGGGGUCCCUUCACUAUCAUUACAGACCAUCAAAGCCUCUGUCAUUUACAGGAUCAGCAACUCAUUACUGAUCUUCAGCGCAAGGCCAUGGCUAAGAUGGUGGGCCUUCAAUUUCAGUUUAAAUGUCGCAAAGGCUCGGAGAACAAUGCCGCAGAUGCAUUAUCUCGUGUGGGUCAUUUGUACACAAUCACAGCAGUCUCGACUUGCCAACCAAUGUGGAUGCAGGAGGUUAUGAAUUCCUAUCAAACUGAUCAAUCAGCUCUUUUUGGAGGAAGCUCUUCAAGGAGAUAG